CUUCAGACAUUUCCUAGAAUCACAAUUUCCAGUCACUUUUACCAAGGUGAUGGAAUCUUGAAUACUGUCACUUCAAUACCAUGCUAUUAACCAAUAAGCAGAACAGAACCGUCUUUGAGGGUACAGUACUUAAAUUUAUAUAGUGAGCCUUUUCAUUAUAUACUGGGAUCAAAAUACUGUGGUCCUCACAAAAGAAGCCAGACAAUUGCUCCGGGACUAAUUUCCAAAGGAAUAAUAAAAUUUCACUGGUUGAAACUUUUCUCUGGGCACACAUAAACACUUCAAAAUAAAACAAGUGCAAAACAAACAUUCUGCUUCAAACUAAAGUAGUAACAGGAAAAGAACAUAGCAUCUAAACCAAAUAACACGUAUAACAUAGAGUACAAUAAACAGCUAGCCACCUUUACAAGUUCCAGCUCCAUCAGUGUGAAUUUCUGAAAUUGCUCAUCAAACUGUUUAAUUUACCACUGUUUGCCAAUCACUUUAGCAUUUAUUGAUGUAGGUAUCUUCUGCAUAACUUUAGAUAGAAAGAGCAUAUAUUAUGAUUUGCUGGAGAUAGUCUCAUUGUCUCAUUUUAUGCCUGUCCCCCCCCCCCAACAUUAUUAAUAGUGUCCCCUUUUCAUUCUCAAGAAUAUCUACUCUUGGUUCACAAAUUAUAUGGUUAUGCUCUUUAAGCUACUUUAUCCAUGAAGCUAAGUUUCUGUUUAUUAACAAUAUGCAAUAAUCCAUCACUUAGUGAUCUUAUGGUUGAAAAAAUUCUAAUCUCUCUUCUUUCAUCUGAUAUUUCUAUUUCUUCCAGUUCAAAAGAGGUGUACCACUCCCAAAUUUUAAUGAAAUAGAAGAAUAUGAACAAUAAAUGUCUGCUUAGGAAUGAAUUAUUGAGCAUAAAUUUUAUUCAAAUUCUGCUUUUGUAUGUGAAAGCAAUUACCAUAUUUGUUUAAAUGUCUUCUCCUCCAACUUCUGCCCCAACUGAGAAACCAAGUAAGAAAACUGAGUUGCCUGAUUAAAUCUUCC
rnacentral:lncRNA from 1 species